rnacentral:rRNA from 1 species
CGUGCAGGCGGUCUGUUAAGUUCAGGGUGAAAGCUCCCGGCUCAACUGGGAGAGGUCCUUGGAUACUGGCAGACUUGAGGGAGGUAGAGGAGAGUGGAAUUCCCGGUGUAGUGGUGAUAUGCGUAGAUAUCGGGAGGAACACCAGUGGCGAAGGCGGCUCUCUGGGCCUUUCCUGACGCUGAGACGCGAAAGCGUGGGGAGCGAACC